UGUAUGGAUGCCUCAGUGUUACCACAGUGAUAUUUGAAUGUAGAAGAUUUGCUGGUGCUGAUAGAGAAUUGCUGAGAAAAUUUCCAUAAGAGAAAAAUUAGGGGUCCCAGUUAUAGACUCAGGGUGGACUAAAGGAUGUAAGGUCACCAAAGCAUUUGGUCUGAAAAUCCAGAUGUUUUUUCCAGAAAGGCAAGAAGCCCUGAAAAUCUACAGAUGAAGUGAACAUUAGAGUUUGAAAUGGGGAUGUAGUUCCACGGAAUAACAGCUUCUUCUGCAGAGAAAUGACCUUCUCCUUAAAAGAAAACCACCACCAAUAAAAAUAGUAAAUAGAAAAUAAAUUUGGUAGAAAAUAUUUAACUGAAAACUAAAAGAACAGACUUCUUUGGCCUCUAGCAGAAUUGGAGCAAUGGAGAAACUUGCCCCCAAAAGAUGCCAUUUCUAGAAGACCUACAAUGAAAGUAAGGUUUCCUGCACACUGCAGCAGAAUUGGACCUGUGAGCUGAGCCAUGGACCUCUUCUGUCACCAGUGCUAAGAAAGUGCCUUUGGUCAUGGAAGCAAAGUUUUCAUUGACUUCACCAGAAUUUUUGGCUGUUUCAACUAUGUUAAGGUUUUAACCGAACCCAACAAGCACAAAAUCAUCACAAUUUGGUAAAUUUAAAUUUAUAACAUCAUGGCAGAUACAAGGAGAAAGUACGGUGUGCCUAAGCAAACAUUUCUCAUGUUUUUAUUAUUUCACUUUAAAGUCUGUUAAAUUCUCAGUAGAGGAGGGUGGGCUUUUUAUAUGAAAACUGACAGCUGUCUUGAAUUUCAAAAAUGCAAAUAUAGAUCCAAAUUUUGAAAUAGUCUGAAGUUCUUCCAAUAAAGUAAAAGCAGUAAAAACUGCAUGUGCUUAUUGCAAAACAAUCAGCCUGAACCUUUUUCAAAACUGAAUAUAUUUGCAUGCAGAAUUCCCAUCUUUUCCAAAACCGUUGUUGUGGAAUCAGCCAUGAUAUUUUUUGUCAACAUUUUUAUUGAAAUAGAUGCUGAGGUUUAUACUGAAAAUAAAGUUUUAAUUACACAAAAAAAAAAAAAAAAGAAGAUAAGCAAGAAUUUUAUCUAAAAUUCUAGUUAAAACCCCCUGAAAAUCAUCUUAAACUUUAUGCAAAGAUCAGCAUCUUCUUCAAAAUUGCUUUUUCAUUUUUGAGAUCCAUUUCAGAAUGAAUUUUUCCUUGUUUUCUGUGUGGUUUUCUAUCUGACUUCCCUCUGUAUUUGAUUGACCAGGGUUGCAAUAAAGAGCAACAGAAAAUCCUCCAUUAUGUCAAGGCUUGUUUAGUUAUUUUAUUGUUUUAACUGUUACGAUCUCUUUGGGUAAGAAAUUCUCUUCUCUGAAUUUCAUUUGAAGAUUGGGAAACUGAUUAGGAUAUUAUCUCCACUGACCUUUCUUUCCUUUUUUUGAGGAAUGCAUGGCCAGCAGCACCAUCUGGACUUGCUCUGGUAUGACCCUCCCCAGGAACAGGGUUCCUGGCAGUACCAGAGACCUCCCAUGGACUCACCUUGGAAUAGCCCAGGAACACAAGGAACCUCCUCGGGAAACAAAAGUAUCCCAGAUGCUAACACACCUGGUAGCACAUUCAUAGAGCUGGCCUCUCACAGCCACAUAGCAGUUAAAAAUCACCUUUCAGACACCUCCUUAUUCCCCAGGCUAUAAAAUACUAUGAGGUGGCAGAGGAGAGAUUAUUUAAUUCAAAUGAACAAAGAAGAGGACAGAAGAGAAGGCCCACUGUUUGGAGGUUAGUGUUCUCACCUGAGCAGAAUGAAUUCAUAAACUCCAUCCAGUUUUUGCUCUUCUGAUUGCAUCCACAUUUCACAGGGGGACACAGUCUCUAAUGGCCCUGCCAUAUCACCUAAUGCAGUGCUUUCUUGUUGGCUGUAGGAAGUGAUGUUUGGGAGGUCUGGAGGUUCCACACUGCUACUACAGCUGUAAUAAACCCAAGUGCAUCAUUGACUCUACUGUGGUGGCAGUGUGGCUGUGGACAGAGCUUGCCUGGAGCUCAGGUGCUUACCCACUGGUCAGGGCAGAUGAUAAUGAUGCUAAAGGUCUUGUCUUCACUCUACAGUCCCCUGAUUCCUGUUUAUUCUCCUGAGGAUGGAAGGUGAAAGGACUGAAACCUGAAACCUUUACUUUUAAAGAUGCCUUCACUGCAGUGCCUGGGUAUCUCAUUGGGUCAUUGCCUGUCUGACCAUUUACUUUUUUUUUUACAGAAAUUUUCCUGUCUGUAAAAUUAAAAUGUUGUUACUGAUUGCAACGGAGCACCAUAAAAAUUAUUUCAACGGUUAUAAACCCCUUCUGGAAUCAUAUGGUGGUAAGUAUUAUUUGUACACAAGGACCUGAAAAGGGGGCUGUUUUGUAUGAUCUAAGGCUACUCUGUUGUGUUUGUUUUGUUUGUGUAUCUGGAUCAUAGCAAUAAACUCAGUUUAGAGAGCAAACAUUUGAUAGCGUAUUUUGGUGCUCAAAAACCCCACAGGUGCCUAGGUACAUGCAGAUGUGAAGGAAUUAAUGAACUUUUAAAUAACAGGGAAACCUUUCUGUUCAGAAGAACGGGUAUCCAUAUAUUUAAAUUUUAUAGAUAUGCAUAUUGCCACAUUCUCUUUCAGCUAACCUUUGUGUGAGAGAAACUUCUGCUGAUGUCAAAGGACCUGGAGGACAUUAGCAGCUGAUACUGGUGCCUGUCGGGUGCUGUUGGGUUUGUCUCCCCACCACUAGGCUGGCUUCCCUCACUACUGCCAGUGACCUUGCAAACAGCUCCGACAAAGGUCGGAAUGGAUUCAUUGAUCAGCCAGGCCAAGCAUAUGACAGUCUGUGCCUUAAUUGAAUCCCAAAAGGGGGCAGACUGGGUUUUUAUUACAGAGGCCAGACGAUAGCACUCAUUAAAAGCUCCACAGACUGUGUGGUUUACUAAUUAGUUUAUUAUACAGACACCUUGACGAUGGGCAAAGUUGUCAUUUUGCCCUUUAUCGCACAGGGGAUGUUGUUAAAAGUUUAAUCAGCUAACACUGACCAACUUACCUUGGCAGGCUGUGGACAGUCAUUACCGAGGUCACCCCUGCUGUAGCAAUUCUGACAGGGUCACAGCAUGAAUCUCCAAUAAAAAGCACGUUACAUAAGAUGUCCAGUGCAUCCAGUUUGAUACUCCAUCAUCAUGGAUGACAUGAAUGGGAGAGUCCAAGCCAGUCGUGUUCUAUCCAGCAUAAGUGAAAGACUGCUUCAGUCUCACUUAACACACAAUGUGACCUUGAAACAAAUCACAGGAGUAAACAAUGGUCCUGACUGUCCUAUGCCCAGGGGAAGAAUUUUGUCAGACCAUUCAGUUGCUUUUUCCAGCCCAGAGACCUCGGCUCCUUUGCCAAGAAAACAAGUUCUAAUGUAGGGGGAAUUCACACACCUGAAAAUCUCAUGCUGUUCUGGAGCUGAGAUAUGGAGAUGGGCCCAGAAGGCUGGUUUCAGCAUCGUAUCCCCAAAUAAAUGUAUACAGGCAGGUAAAGUGCAACCUGGUGUGCCUCAGUGCAUACUAUUCAUUUUCAUUUGAACAUUAGCAUAAGGUGCAGUGGCAGCAGAUUUGUAUCUGUCAUCAGAGGGAGUAAAGAUCAAUGAGUGUGUGCUUACAAUAUGUCCCGCGUGCAGCGCGUGGCGGGGUGUGCAAGGAGGGGAGCCAGCGAGAGGAGCCAGCUCCGUGACAAACACAACAGAUGCGCCGCUGAAUGCUGAGGGCAAGAACAGAAAAAGAACAUUGGUCAGACCCUCAGCUUGCUUCCCUCAGCAGACUUCCCUCACCCUCAGUUUUUACAAGCUGAGUUGGGCCUGUGCCUCUGUUCAAAACAUGAAUCCAUUCCCAUUUCUCACUCCGGAAUCUGGCUGGAAUAUAUUGCAACACCGGGGCGAGCAAUGGGUCAUGUACAAUGGAGGUACCAUUGCUAGUUAACAUGUCUUGGUAGUCACCCCAGGAGUCUUCUCACAGUGACAGAUUGCUCUGUUACAACUGCACAGGCAAAUGCUCCAUCAUUAACUCACUUUAAAAAAAAGCUGCCUUAACUGUGAAACUAAAAGACUCCAACUUUUCCUUUUGCUGUAGCUCCCUCAGGCAAUGAAGGAAUUUGCGAUGUGUGUCAAUGAGACAUUUGAAAUCUCACACAUUUAAAUCGUCCCGACUUCAACAGCAUUUUAAAUACACUGAAACCAGCAGCAUUUCUAAAUUCAAACACCUACCAGUUUCCUUCCCACAAGCUUUCUCCUAUGAGCCUCAAAGGCAGUAGAAAAUGUUAUUAUGCGAACAAAGCAUCUCUCUGUAACUGAAUUAAAUAUAAAUCCAUUAAAGAGAGAGAGAUAAUAUAAUAAUUAAUACUUUGUACUACUAUAUUACCUUUCUUUUGCAGUCUAAAGGUAUUAAUUCAGCCUUAGCCCAUGGUUUCUUUUCCCAUUUUAUAAAUAGAAAAAUUGAGGCACAAAGGGGAAAAGUGAUAUAACUCUUCAGUUAAGGCAAAUCAGUGUCAAGGCAGGCAUAAAAUCCUGGAAAUCUGGUUCUCAGUUCUGCCUCCACCAUUCCAGCACCAACCUUCCCACGAGGCAAGAACACAAUAGACAAAUGGUACCACCAACAGGGUUAUGUGAAGUGAAAAUCAACAGUGGAUCCUCAGUCCCCACAUCUCAGCCUCAGAGAGACAUACACGGCUCAGUGGAAAGACAACUCUAAGCAACCACACAAAUCCAGUGGUGGGCAAAUUCCAGUGACUCCCCCGCAUCAUGUGUGGUAUUUCUGAGUCUACAUUAAGAAAAUCCCAUAAUCCUAUCCUCCAGUCUUUCACCAUGCAAGUGGGUGAGGAGCUCCCAUUAAGUUCAGCAGUGUGAGACUGCAAUUAAACAGCGAUUAAGAGUCACACAAUGCAGCCCACUGGAGGGAUGAGCUGUGUUCUGGCUAACGCGAUCAGCAAACAAACUCUUUUGAAGUGCUUAGACAUAGUGCGUUAGGAAAAGUACCCAGCACGAGGAAUUACCACUCUGCCCUCACAAAGACAUAAAUCCAGGCUUCGCUUAGCCCUGGAGAUGGAUAGACCUGUUUAUCCUCCAGAGGGAUUUUACAUGGCACUAGCAGGCUGCCCACAAUGCAAAAUCAGGCCUUUAAUGAUUGCUUGUGAGAAGUCAGAACGACAAAGCUUUUCAUUAAUCGUCCAUUCCUCAUCAGGCUCUUAAUAGAUCUAUAAAUGAAUAAAUACCCCAAGGAAAUUGCUACUUUAAAAAAGGAAAAAAUUGGGUACCACUUUGAAUAUUGACAGACACAAGAGUUGCCUUUUAACUCCGGAGUCAUUCAACUUUUGUUGGAGUGUUACAUAAAAGCUUUUAAUUUACCGAGUACCUUUUUGUGAGUCGAGGGGAUCAUUUGUGACUAAUGAAGAGCAAAGAACAUUUUAAUAAUAGUGACAACUGGCUUUGAUAUUAAUAUUGUCUCAAAAAAAGUCUCUUUUGAAGUCUCUGAGAUUAGGAAAACCCUUUAUAUUUUAUCCAACCGUGUUAAUAAAAUUGCCUUGCCUACAUAAUGCUUUCUCCAAAGCAAAAGUAAUUUUCCCCCACUUAGUUCCCCAUGCUAUCCUGUGGAUAUUUUUUUAUGCAUUUUUUUCUCACUUUUCAUUUUUCUGUGCACCAACAUUUCUAAUUUUUUUAUUAGUUUUCAGAAAUCAUAUUUAAAUGAAAACCCAAGUGUAAUGCUCUAUUUCUGACAAGAACAUAUUUCAUACUCUUAGAAAUGGAAGCCUUUUUGCAUGUCAUAAAUAUUUCUUGAUACUUUUUCAGGGAGGAAGUAGGAUGGUAGGGGUGCUGAAUGGAAGCCUUCUUCAGGAAACUAUCUGUUUUGUAGAAAUUAUGACAACAGAAGAGAAGGAAAACAUUAAUCUAUUUUAGUUUUAGGGGUGUUGUUCUAUGAACAACGCUAUAUGGAUGUUACUUAUGUAUGAUGGACCCUUAGAUCAUGUCAUUUAUUCAGGUGGACAUGGAGUUGGCCAAAGCUAAGGGUAGGUUACUUCAGUUUUGUUUGUGAGUUCCACAUCCCUACAAACUUUAUUAGAUCUCACAGGCUUGUUAAAAUCAUAGUGAAACAAGACAUGUUUCUGAACUGGUAACACAUCAAUCUUUAGUCCCACUAAAAGGGAUCAGCUACAAAAGACUAACAUGAAAAUAGUAUCUCUAGCAAGUGUUGAAAACAGUAGAACAAGCAUAGUUCCUCUCGGGUCUAACUUCUGUCCUUACUUAGUCUUUCAUUUUUGGAAUGAAGCGCUACUCAAUUUUCCAAUAGUUUUCAGAAAAGGUUACAAGUUAAAGCAAUACACUUGCCUAAGACUCUUGUUGAGCCAGGACUCCAUAUGAUGUAUCGCAAGUCAUGAAUCAUUUGAAGCAUAAACCAGAAAAAAAUUCCUUUUCUUCAGUUUUUUUUUCCUACUGCCCAUGAUGUAUUCCCUCCAGCUCUUCCUUAAUUAGGAAGUUAGGACCAGUAAUUCGUCUCCAGUUGCUUCCUCGAAGCAGAAGCAGCAGCAGGGACAUUAGCACAGACUGAACUGCAGAUAUUUUGCCAUGUGCUCUCACCCUGUUGAGGAGAUUCCCAUCAGUCCCAAAAAACAAUGCUGUCGCUCUUGGAACCCUUUCCCAAGAACAGACACCCUAGCAGUCUAAUCAAGAUGCAAGCACGAAACAGAACAAGUCUACAAUCUUAUGCUGUUUGAGAAGAAAUCAACCUUGAUAUGUCCUUGGUAUGUUAACUAUGGCCCAGCUGUGUUAUGGCCCAGCCCCCAGUGAGGAGCAGAAGGGUGUGAACCACUUCUCUCUCUCUCCUUGGGGCUGCACAUGUUUCAGGCAGUUCUGACCAGAUCCAAGUCCAGUCUCCUGUUUUGACUUUAACUAUUUUUAGUUAGAGGAGAGGCUGCAAACUUUGUCCCACAUUCAGAAGCUCCAGGCAUUUGAUAAAUUUGUGUAAUUUUGACACAGAGAGAAGUUUGCUAGAACAUAGGCCUACAGCUAAUGUUUAUGGACAAGUUUCUAACAAAGGGAUGGUAGGCCUGGGCUGCUGACUCAGCCUUCCCUGUCUGUGUAGGGAUGCUGUUGCCAGAGUAAAGAUAACCAGGAAGGUUACAAGGGGCCACAGAGCCCCUGUGAUCUGCAGGAGCCAGAGAACCCGCAGAGACUCAUUCACUUCUACCUCACCUCAAAGUGGGAGGAAGAAAGGACCUCGGCGAGAGAGCGUUCAGAUGAAGGAACCUUUUAUGGCAGUUUAUAUAAUGCUUCAUUUUGAAUGACUGUGUGGUAACCAGAGCUGGGUGACUGUAUAAUAAGGCUCGCUGGCUCUCUGAUGGAAACUUUCAUAAGGGAAAAAGUUACUGAUGAAAGUGAAGGGGAUUUUGUGUGUGUGCUUCUUGUGCUGCUCGAGGUUUCAUCUGGAUUUCUAGUGCCUGCAAAAUGAGGGACAACAGGGGAGCAGGCCACAAACCUUAACUCCCUGUGCUCUCUUCCUGAAAGUGAAGGAAGAGCAUCAAAGGGAACGAGAGCGACAGACUCUCUAACUGAAAGGCAUUCUAUAUUCUUGCUUUAGGUCACAGCCAUGGCUUGCAUCACAGAGCAAAGUCUGUCUAAUUUAACAUUUAUGAACUCCUCGUUUCCCGGGUGCACUCUUAAGUGGGCCAGGAAAGUUAGGGUGAUAAUGCAAAGUUACAGUUGUGGUUAUUUGGUUUUUUCCUUGGGCAAUUUUAAACUUUCCGGGUGUCAGAUGACUAUUAUGGAUCCUUUCCCUCCUGUUCCUUAACCUCUCUUCUUCUCUGCUCAUCAGGCUGAAAAAGCAAAAGCCCUACCAUGUCACCAGGUUUACCCCAACAAUUUUACAUGCCUUCUUCCUUUGUUCAUAAAUUAUACUAAAAAUUGCAAUAUACACACGAGUGUACAGAAAUGAUCAAUGAAGUGUGUAUAAAUUGCUCCCACCAAAUAGAGAGGGGAACCUUGCCUAUUUGAUGUUUCUGUAUCAGGUUAAAUUCACUUUUGCAUAGGGAUCAAUAAAUGAGAAAGUGAAAAAACAAAUGUAAAAUAUUUAUUGUAAUAGGUUGGGAACCACAUGGCACAGAACUAUAAUUACUGUUUUUUCAGUUCAAUGAAAAAGUUUAAGGUAGUUUUUUCCCAAGAUUUUAAUAAUUUUACAGGUGUUGAAAGGUGUUUUUGAAAUAGCUUUCAAGCUAUUUCAUCUUCCUGCUAAUUUGAUUUUUCAAUUGCUCAUUAUGCAAUUUAAUAUGUAUAUAUAUAUAUAUUUAUAUAGGUGUGUGCCCAUACAUUGUAGGAAAAAUAUUAAACUAAACCUCAUGUCUUUGGUUACAUUGUUGGAAUAUGUUUUGGAUCUGAUUCUGCCCAGUAAAAUCCCCUAUUAGUUCCCUUAUUAGCUCCUGGAUUACAUAAACGAUGAUAAAGAUGAUGUUGAAUUCCCAAGGUGUUUUUUCUCUAUUCUUCACUAAAAAGAAAAAACAGUCCAGUUCUCCACCACAAAGAAAUGAGAUUCAUAUAAGCAAAGAAUAAAUUAGAGAUUAAUUUGAAAAAUAUGGACUUUUUCUGUUAUUUCUGGAUGUGCUGAAAUAAUCUAGAGUGGCUGAAUAGGAAAAUGAGAGAAUGAUUGGAAAUCUAGAAUGCAGGAAAUGGGGGAAUGUAGUAUCUGAUUUUUAAACAGGGGAGAAUUGCAGAUAAAGAAAUUCUAGGCCAAAUAGAUAAGAAGCAAUACUCAACUCACCUGUAAGCAAAGGAUGUAAAAGUGAUAAGUGACAGAUACAUCAGACUAAGCUGUCAAACCAAUCACUUUUCCUUCAAUGGCAGGGUAACAGGAUUCAUGGAAUGAAGUGGUUGUGAGUCACCAUCUGAUUCUGACAUGAUUUGGAAGAUGUUACCAUAAAUAAACCGAGAAAAUGCAAAAUGGGCAAAUGUAAGCACACCAAGUUAGAAAACAGAACUAAAAGAAAAAGAAAAAACUAGUUCUAAAUGGGUUUCUGUUACACUGGGGCAAUGCAGAAAAGGAGGAGUCACACUUUGACCUCUCCUGGGUUUGGUAUUAUUCCCCAUUUUUAGUAAUGAAGGGUGGAAUUGAGCAUGUUUAUCAAUUUUUGUGGAUUAUAUCCAAUCGGGACAAGUCUCAAGCACCCUGAAGAUUAGAAUUCAAAACAGUCUUAGCAAAUCAGAAUCAUAGUCUGGAAAAAUAAGAGGUGGUUAAAUGAUGCACAGGCCAAGCAGCUAUGCCUAACUGUAUUCUUUCUUACCAAACACGUGACUUCUGCACAAAUAUAAGAUGAGGGAGGGCACAGCAGAUUUGCCAGAAAUUAUUUUGGGAUUAUAAAGGAAAAUAAUCUGUACAUAAAUUAAUCAUUUUAACCACUUGUGCCACCCUGUGCAAAAAGAAGCGUCACAUAUAAAUCACAGCAAGUAAUAUUUUCAAUUUUCUGGUAAAGCCCUCAGCUCUGAUCUCCUCUUCAAGUUACUACAUUUUAAGAGAGAUAUGAAGAAAGCAGGAGCAGUCCACAGGAAAAUGACAAAUAUGAUCAAAGUCCUAUAGAAAAAUGUCUUACAAGCAAAUUUGAGAGGACUGGGCUUGUUUAGUCUGAAGAUCAGAAAACUGAGGGGAGAUGUAAUAGCAGUUUUCAAAUUAGUUGAUUCCUGUGAAGUGAAUGGCAGUAAGUGAACUUCUAUUUACAGUGAAAAUAGAAGGGGGAGGUUGCUGUGGGGUGUUAUAUGAAAUAGGAGAGUCCCUUUCUGUCUGAUUUUCCAUCUCAGAAGAAGGAAAGAAUUUCCUCUGCCUUUCUACCUCUGUCUUUCUAAAUUAAAAUUAUUCCAUAGAUUUAAGUCCUGGAGCUUAAAUCGGUAUUUAGGCAAAUGUUAAAUGUAAGGCUUUUUUUUAAAAAAAAGGCAGUCUGGUCUCUGUUCAUUAGAGAUUUAAGCAUAUGGCUAAGUUUAAGCCAUUCAAAUACUUUAACUAUGCAAGUGAUUGAAGCUGGAUGCUGUUUGUUCCACAGAUCUGAAAUUAAUCUGAAUUUAGACUAAUAUAUGUGUACUUUGCCAACUUAGUUCCUCUAUUACUUAGAAAUUUAUUCAAAUUCAAAUGGAAAUUUGGUGCUGAUGAACCCAGGGCUCAAAUUCCUGAACAUAUACAUUAUAGACCUUCGUUUCUUCCCCUCUUUCCCUUGCUGGCUGGGGGUCUAUACAUCAAGAAUUUGUGUUCUGACCUUAUAGUUUGAAAGAUAUUGAGUGCUUUAGCCUCCAGUAUCGAAAUCAUUGGAUGUCUGCUGCUGACUCAGAUGGAAACAAGGUUAAGCCUGUAAAUAGUAACAUUAUUGAAAAUCACUUUUUUAACUGCAAUUUCCUAACACCCAGCCUCGUUUUAUCCAACCUCUCCCCUAAAAUCCUGCGUGAGGGCUUGUACACCUGCACAACUAUUAACACGGGAUUGGAAAAGCAGCGAGCUUUGCUUGCCCACAUUUGGGGAGGACACUCCUGAACAUGUAGCUAUUAAAAUAGUAAUUUCUCUAUUACUCUGCAGUUCAGGGAGGGACUGCAGACCUUCACUUGCACUGCACACCCACGGGUUGUCACAGCGACUGGGUUUUCUGUGAAAAACCCCGCAGUUGUUAAUUCAAUCAACAGAAAGGGUGUUGAUCUAAAACCCCACUGUUGUUAAUUCAAUCCUCCAUCAAUGAGAAGGUGGUGUAAAAGGAUCUCUGCAUUCCAAGCAUUAGGAAAUGUGUGGAAUAUCUGGUCCUAUAGAACCAGAGACAGGCUGAUGGCCAAAAGGUGGCGUCCGACCAUGGACCAUGAGGAGCUGAACUGUGUGAGUUUGGUGCAUGAAGUUGUAGUUAGCCCCAUAAAUCCCUUUUGCUAAUCAAUCCCAAAUAGAACUGAGUAGAAAUUUCUUGGAAGCCCCUUAUAGUUAACACUUCUAAUGGAUAAUUUUUUAAUCUUUAGCUUUGUAAAACUUAAUGGUAAAUGACUACAUAUCCUAAAUUCCAACACUGGGCUAAAAUCUCAUUCUCUACGUUAAGGUAAA